rnacentral:rRNA from 1 species
GGCUGUAACUAUAACGGUCCUAAGGUAGCGAAAUUCCUUGUCGGGUAAGUUCCGACCUGCACGAAUGGCGUAAUGAUGGCCACGCUGUCUCCAGCCGAGACUCAGUGAAGUUGAAAUUGCGGUGAAGAUGCCGUAUACCCGCGGCUAGACGGAAAGACCCCGUGAACCUUUACUAUAGCUUGGCACUGAACAUUGACCCUACAUGUGUAGGAUAGGUGGGAGCCUUUGAAACUUCGUCGCCAGAUGGAGUGGAGGCAAUCUUGAAAUACCACCCUUGUAGUGUUGAUGUUCUAACUCUGGUCCCUUAUCGGGAUUGAGGACAGUGCCUGGUGGGUAGUUUGACUGGGGCGGUCUCCUCCCAAAGAGUAACGGAGGAGCACGAAGGUUAGCUAAACACGGUCGGACAUCGUGUGGUUAGUGCAAUGGCAUAAGCUAGCUUAACUGCGAGACAGACACGUCGAGCAGGUACGAAAGUAGGUCAUAGUGAUCCGGUGGUCCUGAAUGGAAGGGCCAUCGCUCAACGGAUAAAAGGUACUCCGGGGAUAACAGGCUGAUACCGCCCAAGAGUUCAUAUCGACGGCGGUGUUUGGCACCUCGAUGUCGGCUCAUCACAUCCUGGGGCUGAAGUCGGUCCCAAGGGUAUGGCUGUUCGCCAUUUAAAGUGGUACGCGAGCUGGGUUCAAUACGAUGG